rnacentral:rRNA from 1 species
CAUGCAUCCUUAGUACGGCGAGUGACCGGGAAAAGCUCAAAUUUGUAAUCUGGCUGUCUUCGAUAGUCCGAGUUGUAAUCUAUAGACGUGUUUUCCGUGCUGGACCGUAUCUAAGUCCCUUGGAACAGGGUAUCAAAGAGGGUGACAAUCCCGUGCUUGAUACGACCACCAGUGCUCUGUGAUACACGUUCUACGAGUCGAGUUGUUUGGGAAUGCAGCUCAAAAUGGGUGGUAAAUUCCAUCUAAAGCUAAAUAUUGGCGAGAGACCGAUAGCGAACAAGUACCGUGAGGGAAAGAUGAAAAGCACUUUGGAAAGAGAGUUAAACAGUACGUGAAAUUGUUGAAAGGGAAACGAUUGAAGUCAGUCGUGUUCUUCAGAUUCAGCUGGUUCUUCCAGUCUACUUCUGUGGAACGGGUCAACAUCAGUUUUGUCCGGUGGAUAAAGGUAGUAGGAAUGUGACUCCCCCGGGAGUGUUAUAGCCUAUUAUUGCAUACACUGGGUGAGACUGAGGACUGCAGCUCGCCUUUUGGCCGGUCUUCGGACACGUUCGAGCUUAGGAUGUUGACAUAAUGGCUUUAAACGACCCGUCUUGACCACGGAACAAUG